GACGAACGCUGGCGGCGUGCUUAACAUAUGCAAGUCGAACGGUGAAGCGCCUUCCUUUUUGGUGGGUGUGGAUGAGUGGCGAACGGGUGAGUGACACGUGAGUAACCUGCCCCCUUCUUCUGGAUAACCGCAUGAAAGUGUGGCUAAUACGGGAUAUUCUGGGUCUGCCGCAUGAUGGGUCUGGGAAAGAUAUUGUUUCGGUGGGGGAUGGGCUCGCGGCCUAUCAGCUUGUUGGUGGGGUGAUGGCCUACCAAGGCGGUGACGGGUAGCCGGCCUGAGAGGGUGGACGGUCACACUGGGACUGAGACACGGCCCAGACUCCUACGGGAGGCAGCAGUGGGGAAUAUUGCACAAUGGGCGCAAGCCUGAUGCAGCGACGCCGCGUGAGGGAUGGAGGCCUUCGGGUUGUGAACCUCUUUCGCCAGUGAAGCAGGCCUGCCUCGUUUGUGGGUGGGUUGACGGUAGCUGGAUAAGGAGCGCCGGCUAACUACGUG
rnacentral:rRNA from 1 species